UGCUGCUUCGCUGACGAGUGGCGGACGGGUGAGUAAUGUCUGGGAAACUGCCUGAUGGAGGGGGAUAACUACUGGAAACGGUGGCUAAUACCGCAUAACGUCGCAAGACCAAAGAGGGGGACCUUCGGGCCUCUUGCCAUCAGAUGUGCCCAGAUGGGAUUAGCUAGUUGGUGAGGUAACGGCUCACCAAGGCGACGAUCCCUAGCUGGUCUGAGAGGAUGACCAGCCACACUGGAACUGAGACACGGUCCAGACUCCUACGGGAGGCAGCAGUGGGGAAUAUUGCACAAUGGGCGCAAGCCUGAUGCAGCCAUGCCGCGUGUAUGAAGAAGGCCUUCGGGUUGUAAAGUACUUUCAGCGGGGAGG
rnacentral:rRNA from 1 species